GUGAGAGUGACUGUUAGUAAGGACUAUGGAAAGCCAGCUGCAAGAGGCAGAGGUGUAAAUGAGGAUCUAGAAAAACACCACCAUAUAAAUCUGUACUGAAAAUAUUUGGUGGUAAAAAACAGAACAGAUGGGGUGUCAGGUUGAAGGAUUUUCAGGGUCAAGUUUUUCUUCUUCCUUAAGAAGAGACUAAGUCAAAGAUGUGGUCAAUCGUAGGCUAGAAGGCAGGUGAUGGCAGGGAGAGACACAUGACAAAAAGGACCAGAUAAAGGUACAGUUGCCCUAGAAGAGGUAGGAGGGAAUAAAAUUCAGGACACAGUUGGAAGAUUAGCCUCUGAAAAGAGGAGUGCUCUCUUUGGGAUGAAAUAGAGAUGACAAAGGGUUAAGAAAAAAAGAUCCAGCACUUUGGGAGGCC
rnacentral:lncRNA from 10 species